GGCAAAGAUUAAUGGCCAAACUGACAUUUUGAUACGACUAUCGGCUUUACGAGACAGAAAGGCAUAAGCAAUUGCUGCAGAAGCACAUUGGAAGAUGCUACAAACUAAUCCAAAAAUAUCAGCAAAUGUUCCCAGAGGCUUGUAACUUGGAUAUGAAGAGUAAAACCAAGGUAUGAUCUUGCCUCUCCUCAUCCAUGUGACUCUUUCUCUUCGACCUAUUCGAACAAGAUCAAGAACAGAGAUAAGCAUGAUUACGAAAGACAUGAUCAAGCUGAUUAGUGCAUAGCGAGGCUUGUGAACUGAGGCUAGCUGAUCAAGAACCGCCGACGGAAGCUCCACCACCAAAUUCGUGAUCAAGAAAAUCAGUUCCAGGGUCUUAUCUUGAUCAGAAAGUGUGGUUAACAUUUUCUUUCACUCUCUCUCUGUUUCUCUCUCCUUCAUAUAUACUUUGUUGAAUAGUAAGAGCGGUCCAAUGCACUAGUUUCA
rnacentral:misc_RNA from 1 species